rnacentral:rRNA from 1 species
AGAGAGAGACAUGCGCGCAUAUCAAUAAGCGGAGGAAAAGAAACUAACAAGGAUUCCCUUAGUAACGGCGAGUGAAGCGGGAAGAGCUCAAAUUUGAAAUCUUCAAGGUUUUACCUUGACGAAUUGUAGUUUAAAGAAGUGUUUUCUGCUGAAGUUUUGGUAAAAGUUCUUUGGAAUAGGACAUCAUAGAGGGUGAGAAUCCCGUAUUUGACCAUUAUUUUCAGCUUUGUGAUACACUUUCAAAGAGUCGGAUUGUUUGGGAAUGCAGUCCAAAAUGGGUGGUAAAUUUCAUCUAAAGCUAAAUAUUGGCGAGAGACCGAUAGCGAACAAGUACCGUGAGGGAAAGAUGAAAAGAACUUUGAAAAGAGAGUUAAACAGUACGUGAAAUUGUCAAAAGGGAAGCGUUUGACACCAGUGUUGUUUUCUCGAAAAUCAAUUAAAAAUGGCUCGAUUUUGUAUUGCUUGAGACCUUAAAAGCUCACUGUACAUUUUUCGUGUCUUUUUUAAUGCACUUUUCGUUUAACAAGUCAACAUCAGUUUCUUUUGUUGUAAAAGGGUCAUUGGAAGGUGGCUUUCUUUUCGGAGAAAGUGUUUAUAGCCUUUGGCCUCUGCAAUCGGAAGAGACUGAGGUCUGCAGCGUAGACUCUUCGGGGUUAGAUACAUUUGUGCUAAGUUAUAGCUUUUUAUAGACAACUUGUUGACUAUAAUUAGUCUUGUAGCUUACUCGCUUAUGCUAUUUUACCUACGCUUAGGAUGUUGAGUCGUAGAGCACGCAG